GUAUUUUUCCUUAUUUCUAACAGGUUAUAAAACAAAACAAACAGCUUGUUUACUGUCAAGCUGGAAAAAACCCAGCAUAACAACAUAUAAAGUAUUACUUUGUCAAAUUGGGCAACAAAACAUUUAUGCUGUUGAAUAUAUUUGAAUAUGUAUUUCACAGUUUUGCUUCCACCCAUAGCUACAAUCAUGGCAAAAAUUCUGUGGACACUUAUAGGUGUGAACGAUUAAAGUAUUACUGUUCACAUACACAUAUUGGCAUCUUCAUCUCCCCCGUCAGUCACAGAGCUUUCGCCUAACCGAUCUAGAAGCUUUUCAACAGUCAAAAAAUGCUGUUUUUGCAUGUAUGUUUGGCCAAGGCAGGUAUUUGUAUUUUUGCGCACACUGUCCACAAUAAUUUUUUCCAGGAUUGUAGAUAUUCUAAUUUAGGG